GCGUAUUCAACAAACAAACUCCAAUAAACCGCCGAAACAUAGAAACAACUGCAUCCGUCUCCCACCCACUUCGAGUUGUGAACGCUUAGAUGGAAUCUGUGGUAGAAGAGGCGGUACUUCGGAGAUUACCAGACUCCUUGACAUGUCAAAGACUGGUUUACAUUAUUUACCAUAUCACUGUUGCAAUACAUAACGUCACCGUUACGUUAGUCCCUCAACAUUCUCGCUAAUCUCGAGAGUGAAUUCCAAGCUUGGUUGCUGGAGUCGGAGGGUGCAGCCAAUGCAGAUAAGCUCAAAGAAAUGUGCCAGGGCCUUUUGAUCAUCAAAACAACUCAUUGUGGAGAUAUUGGAUUGGUUCCCUUUUGGCACUCAACCUCCAUGAAGUAAAUGACCUCAUCAACCAGGUAGUUGGUGGUUUUUGAGUGACGUAGUGCAUCAGGGUGUCACCUGUUGCACUACAAUGCUUACAACAAUGCUCAUUAUGGAGAGUCCUGACUACUAUUUGCCAUACACAAUGGUAGCCUAGUCUUGUCAUUUGUAGGCACCUCUCAAAAUCAUCCCAGAAAGUGCCAGUGAUUCAUACUUUGUUGCAUUCAUAUAAUAGCUGCUACUUCACACCAUGAAUUCACAACUGGGGCACGAGACCAAUUCUUUCAAUUGCUACUCCUUUCCAAACUCUGUUAGUCUGUCAGCAAGCUCUUUCCUAGGGUGUAAUCAAAGACUCCUAGGUUGCAAGAAUCAUAAUGUUCUUGUAUUACCACUUUCAUGAUAUUUGAACAACAAAAAACUAUUGGCAGUGAGAAAGAACAGUUCAUAUAUUCACUAAACAUCACACAUUGGUUCUAGACCACAUUAGCUUCCUAAGAAUUCUUAGCAAAGUGUAACUCAAAUUUACUAUGAAGAUUUACUCUUAGAAUGAUCAUGCCAAUAGAGAAUUCAGUUUUAUCAAUGCAAUAAUUGGCAUUGGGAUUAUUUUGUCAAAAAAGUGAAAUAUCAAGGUCAAUUCUUACAUCACACCCAUGUCAAAUAACAAUAGCUCAAGAAUUUGUAAUCAAAAUAUUAAAACAUUACCUUGUACUAAUGAUGAUUUUUGCCUUUCCCUUUUGCAGGGUAAUUCCUGCACCCACUGUAACUGUCUAGGGUUUGUGUGUGUGUAAUGGAGGGGAUAUGGGUUAAAUUGUACAUGCAUAAUAUUUAUGUUGAAUUUCUUUCAUGCAUGAAAGAAAAUGAAAACAGUAAAGUUUUCUAUUUUACAUGAUAAAGAAAAUGGUACAAUGAAAAAACUGCGUCUAAUUUUGGCCAUGUAUUAUUUGAAACGUUUUUUGGUAUUGUAAAGAGUAUUGACAUAGAUCUUUGUAACUAACUGCUGUCUAACUUAUCCUAAACAAAUCAAGCUUAUACAUCGUUCCCUAGCCAAGGGGGAGCUUUGCAUGUGAAAAGCUGCACCUCAACACAGAAUAAUGGCAAGGAUGUGGGACUUCAGCAACAUCGCGUGCAUUUGGACUUACCCAUGCGAGCAGGUAUUUACAAACUUUGACGUGCACGUGGUGAGGCAGAGCACCGUCUUCCCGCCGCCUGACCCUCUUCCGGUGGCACCAGAUGCAGACCACAAUCAGGAGGACUGAAGAAAUACCCAGACCAACACCAACCAGCAUCAACACAUUUACUUCUGUGGCUUUGACACCUAAAAGAGAAUGACUGAAGCCACAGAAGAACCUUAUGGUACGGUCGAACAUGGAUGAACCAGUUACAAGAAAAUGCACCAGCCUCACGGUCCGGGCCAGCAUAUUUGUCUGGCCAAUGUGGGGAAUGAAUGAUUCCAUAUUCC
rnacentral:lncRNA from 1 species